UACAGAGGGUGCGAGCGUUAAUCGGAAUUACUGGGCGUAAAGCGUGCGUAGACGGUUAUUUAAGUCGGGUGUGAAAGCCCCGGGCUCAACCUGGGAAUUGCAUUCGAGACUGAAUAGCUAGGGUACGGUAGAGGGAAGCGGAAUUUCCGGUGUAGCGGUGAAAUGACGUAGAUAUCGGAAGGAACAUCAGUGGCGAAAGCGGCUUCCUGGACCAGU
rnacentral:rRNA from 1 species